GCUCGGGUGGCGGAAUUGGUCAUACGCGACUGACUUAAAAUCAGUUGGCCGCAAGGCCAUGUGGGUUCGACUCCCACCCCGAGCA
rnacentral:tRNA from 1 species